rnacentral:rRNA from 1 species
AGUGAACGCUGGCGGCAGGCCUAAUACAUGCAAGUCGAACGGCAGCACAGCAGAGCUUGCUCUGUGGGUGGCGAGUGGCGGACGGGUGAGGAAUACAUGGGAAUCUGCCCAGUCGUGGGGGAUAACGUAGGGAAACUUACGCUAAUACCGCAUGCGCCCUUCGGGGGGAAGCCGGGGACCUUCGGGCCUGGCGCGAUUGGAUGAGCCCAUGUCGGAUUAGCUAGUUGGCGGGGUAAUGGCCCACCAAGGCGACGAUCCGUAGCUGGUCUGAGAGGAUGAUCAGCCACACUGGAACUGAGACACGGUCCAGACUCCUACGGGAGGCAGCAGUAGGGAAUAUUGGACAAUGGGCGCAAGCCUGAUCCAGCCAUGCCGCGUGAGUGAAGAAGGCCCUCGGGUUGUAAAGCUCUUUGUCCGGAAAGAAAAGCGCCGGGUUAAUACCCUGGUGUCCUGACGGUACCGGAAGAAUAAGCACCGGCUAACUUCGUGCCAGCACG